AGCAGCCGCGGUAAUUCCAGCUCCAAUAGCGUAUAUUAAAGUUGUUGCAGUUAAAAAGCUCGUAGUUGAAUUUCGGGGUUAGUAGGUUGGUCAUGCCUCUGGUAUGUACUGGUCUCACUGAUUCCUCCUUCCUGAUGAACCUUAAUGCCAUUAAUUUGGUGUUUUGGGGAAUUUGGACUGUUACUUUGAAGAAAUUAGAGUGUUUAAAGCAAGCUAACGCUUGAAUACAUUAGCAUGGAAUAAUGAAAUAGGACGUUCGAUCCUAUUUUGUUGGUUUCUAGGAUUGACGUAAUGAUUAAUAGGGAUAGUUGGGGGCAUUAGUAUUCAAUUGUCAGAGGUGAAAUUCUUGGAUUUAUUGAAGACUAACUACUGCGAAAGCAUUUGCCAAGGAUGUUUUCAUUAAUCAAGAACGAAAGUUAGGGGAUCGAAGACGAUCAGAUACCGUCGUAGUCUUAACCAUAAACUAUGCCGACUAGGGAUCGGAUGAUGCUAUUUUUAANGACUCA
rnacentral:misc_RNA from 1 species